UCACCACUCAAGCUCGGCUUGUUAUUGGGUCCCGUAUCGUUAAAGAUAGGCCCGAAAGAUAAUGGCGGCGUCAAGAAUGACCCCAGGUGCAGCGAGCUCAUACAGCAUACACUGAGGUGGUUUUCUUGGCCUUGCCUUGUUUGUCUAAAACACAUUUAAAGGUUGACCUCGGAUUAGGUAGGAAUACCCGCUGAACUUAA
rnacentral:misc_RNA from 1 species